UAAUGAUUCUCUAAGAAUCUACAAGGUAGCCACCCAUUUACCUUGUGUAAUACAGAUAACUAUCUUAUCAUAAUGUCACAUUCUAUCAUCAUCUUAGUCAUUAAGUCCUAUGGACUCUGCCUCCACAGAGUUUAAACUGACCUUCUUUAAUUCUACUUUACUAUCACUCAGUAUAUUUUUUUUCUUCUGUACUUGGGAUUGAGCCAAGGGCACUGUACCACUGAGCUAUAUCCUCAGCCCUUUGUAUUUUUAUUUUGAGAAAGGGUCUCAAUAAGUUGCCCAGGCUGGCCUCCCACUUGUGAUCCUCCUGCCCCAGCCUCCCAAGUUGCUGAAAUUGCAGGAUGUGCCCAUGCCUGGCUUACCAUUAUUUCUUGGCUGUCAUGUUGCAGUGGCCUCCUACUUUAUUUCUUUGCCUCUAAUCCUUUCUCUCUUAAUCUAUUCUAAUACAAUUAAUGAAGUUAAAUCAUAGCAAACAUCAUGGUAUCCUAGUGGGAUUACAGGCCAGCUGGGAUUACAGUCCUGUGCCACCACACCCUGCUUAACCAUAUUUUAAAGACUAUGAACCUUGUUUACCUAUUCUGCUUAUGCCCAAAUACCUCUUUGACUUUCAAACCCUUCAGUAAUAUGGCCCCAUCCCACUUUUCUAACCUUUACAUAUACCUUGUUAUUAACAUUUCAAUUUAUCCAUUCAACAGUGGAGCAUCUGCCAUGAGCCAGGCAUAAGUAGGGUUACAAAAGGAAGCAGGGUGAGUGUUCUCAUCAAGUGGAUAGCAUCAAGAAAUUAAUAAACCUAAAGAGUAGACAGUGGGGAAGAAGGAAAAACUAGGAGUAUAUGGUACUCUAGAAGGUACAUGAAUAAAGUGUUCCAAAUGCACUAAUCAAUCACAUCAAAGACUGCUUGAAGUCAGGUAAAAGGAAGGUUGCAAAAGAUCACUGAGACCAGUGAUAAUAUCUACAAGAAUGGUUUCUUUGGAGUGGUAGGAAUGAAAAGUUAACUGAACUGGGCUCAAGGGAGAAAAUGAGUUUAGGAGGUUGAAGUUUUUGCUAUACAAGGAAGCAUCAAAGUUGGGCCUGGUGGUGCAUGCCUAAAAUUCCAGCAGCUUGGGAGGCUGAAGUAGGAGUUCAAAGCCAGCCUCAGCAAUUUAAUGA
rnacentral:lncRNA from 1 species